GGCGGCAGCGGUGAUGACUCUUUCCCCGUCAGAUCGACCGUGGUGAUAACCUGACACAAACAAGCCAAACCCCGUCUGAGUGCUGCC
ensembl:snoRNA